rnacentral:lncRNA from 1 species
CAGAUAAGCAUUGUUUAGAAAACAAUGCCUCUCUGCCAAACGUUAUCAAAAACCCAACACGGGUUUUUGGUGCCCUGAAACAGAACCUCGGGGUCUUCUACUGCAUUUGGCCCCAUCACUGAACUCCAAGGGUCUCCCCAGGUCCCAAAGCUCAGUGUUUUUCCACCUGUAUCACCUUUGUUUCACACAGUCACUUAAGGAAGACAGCCUAGAAGCAAUGAUAAAGAUCUCUGAUAGACAACAACACAGAAAGAAGAACAGUGCACAUCUGGGCACCUCAGGAGCACUUUAGGCACUCAAUGCCAGAGUCACCACGAGGCACAGACUCGAGGGAAACCACCCUGAGUGACCCCAAGACCUCAGGAACCUGAAGAGCACCGCCCGACCACCACCACGGGGGGAUGUGUAUGGGGGGCAUAGGGAGGGGAGGGGGGAAGGUCAGCCGCGUUUCACGUCCCCCUCUGGAGGAGGAGCCGAGCUGAACCCCCGGCAGCCUCAGUGCGCUCCCACAAACGGGGCAGUGCGGAGAAAGCCAGACAGCGGUACCCGAACAGAAGAGCACGCAGCGGCACUUUCCGAUAAACCAGCGCCUGCAAACCCUGAAACUUUCGCAGCGCCCUCCCGCUUCGCAAAGCACCGGGGGUGCCAUAUCCGCGGGGCACACACCUGCACGCCCCGGGACCGAGUUUGCCCCCCUCCCGUAGCCGGCAGCCCCCACUUACCGGCGGGGCGUUGGGCGGGCAGCCGCCUGCAGCCAACCUGGCCGCCUGCCUCCUCAGCUCGGCCAGCUGCGCCUGGCAGCUCCGGCACCAGCCCCCGGCCGCCGCCCGCUCCAGCGGCCGCGUUUCGCUCCCGACGGCGGCGGACCCCGCUCCUUCGGGCGGCGGGCGGCGGGCGCAGCGCUCCUCCUCGGGGGCGGCGGAGGAGGCGACGGACGGAGGUUUUUUCCGAGGGGAGAGCUCCCGCCCCGCGCUCCCCUCCGCCACCUGCGGAGAGAGCAAAGAGAGCUUCAA